ACCCCAAUGUGAUCGUGUGCCCCUCAUUACCGGAAGGCAACAAUGAUGCAGAUGAUGUUAAGUGAGAUUCUUGUGUGGCCGCCAUUCGCAUGCCGAACACGUGGUGGCGGCCAUCUUAAAACGCACGAAUAGCGGUGUUUGGUCGUCGAGUGUCUGGAACUCAAACCGGACACUCGACUAACCAAGCACCGCUAAGACCUCCAGAAAAUGUCGAAUAAAACCUACGAACAGCCCGCCGUUCGAUAGGAUGAAUCCCGCGAACCAGGGGAUUCAUCCGAAUGCGGACUUAAUACUGGAUGGCAUAGACGUUCGGAAUUUUUUAUGUGUGAACAGAGACCGACCGCAAGACCAGAAC